rnacentral:rRNA from 1 species
AUUGCCUCAGUAACGGCGAGUGAAGCGGCAACAGCUCAAAUUUGAAAUCUGGCCUCUUUGGGGUCCGAGUUGUAAUUUGUAGAGGAUGUUUCGGGUACCGCCUCGGCCUAAAUUUCUUGGAACAGAAUGUCAAAGAGGGUGAGAAUCCCGUCUUGGACCGGCGGUAGGGCCCAUGUGAAACUCCUUCGACGAGUCGAGUUGUUUGGGAAUGCAGCUCAAAAUGGGUGGUAAAUUUCAUCUAAAGCUAAAUAUUGGCCAGAGACCGAUAGCGCACAAGUAGAGUGAUCGAAAGAUGAAAAGCACUUUGAAAAGAGAGUUAAACAGUAUGUGAAAUUGUUGAAAGGGAAGCGCUUGCAACCAGACUUGUGCUCGGCGGUUCCCCCUUCCUUUUGGUUGGGUUAUUCCGUCGUGUCCAGGCCAACAUCGGUUCUGGGGGUCGGUUAAAGGCCUUGGGAAUGUACCUACCCUUCGGGCGUAGACUUAUAGCCCUUGGUGUCAUGCGGCCUCCCGGGACCGAGGAACGCGCUUCGGCUCGGAUGUUGGCGUAAUGGUUGUCAGCGACCCGUCUUGAAACACGGACCAAGGAGUCUAACAUCUAUGCGAGUGUUUGGGUGUCAAACCCGGAACGCGAAAUGAAAGUGAACGGAGGUAGGAAGCUUCGGCUGCACUAUCGACCGAUCCUGAUGUCUUCGGAUGGAUUUGAGUAAGAGCAUAGCUGUUGGGACCCGAAAGAUGAUGAACUAUGCCUGAAUAGGGUGAAGCCAGAGGAAACUCUGGUGGAGGCUCGCAGCGGUUCUGACGUGCAAAUCGAUCGUCAAUUUGGGUAUAGGGGCGAAAGACUAAUCGAAUCAUCUGGUAGCUGGUUCCUGCCGAAGU